UUGUUUAACAAAAAAAUAAUAAUGCAAUAUUAUGAAUCACAUUCAAAACCGGAUAAGCUGAUACCGCGAUAAUUAGAUACGCAGCGCGCGCUGUUAUCUUCAAUCUUCAUUUCCUCAUCCAAAACCUUUGAAAAAUCACAAAAGCCAUGAGAGCAACCGCUCUCGUCCUCUCUCCACCACCACUCUCCACACGCACCCCUCUCCUCCUCCUCCACUGUCCGCACCCCCUCCUCCCCUUCCGCUCCCUCAAGCCCAAACCCCUCCCCAAACACCGCCUAAUCCUAUCCCCGUCCCCAAACACCCCAUCCUUCCUCGUCCGGGCCGACGACGGCGACGGUGAUAGCGCAGGCCCCGAUGACUAUGACAUGGACGACGAAGAGCUCGAGGAAGUCGACAACAAGAAGGACUUCGACAUUGAGUACGACACCCUCGCCGCCGCCGCAGCCGCCGUUGCUGCCGCCAACGGCGAAGAGGACAUCGCCAUGGUGCAGAGCAAGAGCUUUGUGUUUACGCAAGGCUGGGACUCAGAGAUGGUCGUCGAUUAUCGGAUUAACGAAGACGAGUUUCACAAGAUUAGCUUGCUCGAUUGCGAUUUCUUCAUAAGGAAGCCCCCCGAUCCCGAUAACGACGUCUAUGAUUUCAGAGAGAUGUAUGUUACUCCUCCGGACACAGAUGUUUAUGCAAUUCCCAGGGUUUUAGCUCCAAUGCCUCAGAAGUACAUUCGCUGUGCCAAGAGUGAUUUUAGCUGCUACAAUGUGACAGAGCCACCAAUUGAUGCUCCUAGAGAUCCAUUGUAUAAGUCUGAGCGGGACGUUUUAAAGGUUUACAUGACAAAGCACUACAGGAACCGGAGGUUGCGCGACCCUGAUUUUGUUCUGGAUUUUGAGGAGAUUUAUGUGAUUGAUUCCAAAACAAAAUCUAUUAGCAGAGCAAAAGUUCUGGUCAGUGUUCCAGGGGGAAGAAGCAGAGAUAGAAGGCAUGACCUGCUUGUAAUACGUGAUAAUGGCAACUCCUUCAGAAUAAUUCAUGGGAGUGAAAAGGAUGAUCCCACCACAGUGAUAGAGAGGGAAGAGUGGAAGAAGACCAGACAGGACAUGGAGAGGCAUCUUAGCAAGCUACGGGACUUCAGCGUUUCAAAUUGGUUUUAGUCCAUCAGCAAAAUUUAGAGAUAACAUCAUGAAGGCACAUGAGCAACAAAAUGUGGAUUCCUAGAGGUGACUCUGCAAAUAUGUUGAUGUUGGACUUUCAAGAUAUAUUAGCUAUAUCCUGAGCACAUAAUAUUGAGUUUAUGAUGCUCUCCAUAUGAGAAGGUCCUUGUUGCUGAUAUUUUGGCAAGCACUUGUGCUAUAAAUUUUGUAAAGUAAGUAUAAAUGUUGAGUUGAUGCAGAAUAUCAAAGUUACUUUGUGGUGUAGGAUGGAAUAAAAGCUGCUCGCAGUUAAACGAUCUCGUGAGAAGAGACUACCAGCCUAGAAAGAGACAAGGAGACUCUGUUUGUUUGUUUGCUUGAGGAGAGAACCCUUGCAAGUAAGCAAUGGCAUGGGUAAAAAUCUAGCCCAUCUGUUUUAACGUGACAGCCGGAACUGGAUUUCUUUUUCAAGUCACCCAAACUGGACUCUGCUGCAUGCUAUUUUAGUCCAAUCUCACCUUUUAUCCGGUCCAA